rnacentral:lncRNA from 1 species
AAGAGGAGUGGUGAUCUGAACGUUAGAAGAGGGCAUGCAAAUGCUUGGAGGGGUGCCCCAAACUGGCCAGCACCUCUUCCAAAUGGUUUCAUCCCAUUCCAACCUGGGCCACCUCAUGGUGGUUUUCAAGCUGUGAUGCCACAGUUUCCUUCUCCAUCUCUGUUUGGUGUUAGGCCCUCAAUGGAAAUUAAUCACUCUGGGAUUCCAUAUCAUAUACCUGAUGCCGAAAGGUUUAACAACCAUUUGAGACCAAUUGGCUGGCAGAAUCCGAUGGAUGGCUCUGGUCCAGCCCAGUUUCCUGGUUGGGAUGGUCACAGUGUUAGUUUUAGGGAUGAAGCGCACAUGUUCGGGGGUCCCGAAUGGGACCAGAAUAGGCAUCCAGUGAAUGGUCGGGGAUGGGAUACCGGUUCAGAUGUGUGGAAGGGACAAAAUGGUGAUGUUGACUUGCCCUCAACAUCUGAGAAAGAGGACCAUCCUCUGCAGGCCCCUCUUGAUGUCUAUGAUGGACAGGAACGUCAGAGGUCUCAAUAUGAAAAUGGCGAUAAUGAUGUUCAGGUGACGGGUUUUGAAUUAAGAUCUGAUGUCUUGCCAGCAGCAAAAGAAUCUUCUAGAUGUUCACCUGAGAUUCCACACAAGGCACCUGAUUCUUCCAAAAUAUCGAGUGAAGAUGAUGAUGCUCGCUGUUGUCGACUUUAUCUUUGUAAGCUUGACAUUUCAGCAGAACUAGCUGGUUCUGCUUUGUAUGAUCAGUGUGCAAGUUUGCUGAAUGUGGAGCGAAGUAAAGAUUUGGGUAAAGAUGUAACAAUGCUUGUGAAUUUGAAGGUAGAGAACCCUUUUCUUCAAAAUUUUCUCUCAGUAGUUAAUUUAUCUGAUCUUUGACUUAUAGUACCCUUUUUCUCGUAUUUUUCAGAACGGUGGACGACCAGUACAAAAUGCUUCUAUUGAUGUUCUGAGCCCUUCACUUAUUCCUGCAACUAAUGCUUCUGUUUUUCAGGUAUUUGUGAAGCUUGUAUCUGUAUAUGCGUUUGAGUAUAUCUAAGAUCUUUUUUCUGUUACUUCUUUGGUGGGAGAAAUAGAAUUAUGAAAUGCUUAAUAAUGGUUAUAAAAGCAUGUAUAAAAAUAUAUGACCUGGGGAAUGCUGUUACUUAUUUUCCCCCAGAUCAAACAUAGUCAUUUCUACUUCAACUUUCAACUUCUGGUUCUAAACUAAUGAUGGUGUUUCAUUUAUGUUCUCUGACUUGCAGAAAGCCAUGGACCUCUAUAAGAAACAGAGGCUACAAAUUUGUGCUAUUCCAAAUGCCAAUGGUGGGAUGUUGGCAUCUACUUCAGUGCCCAAGGAGGAGCAAAGUUCUGAUCGUGUAGUCGAUGAAGCAGAGGAGCCAGUUUUGAUUUCUGAUGCUGAAAUGGCUGAUUCAGAUCAGCAGAAAGGAGACGCUGUUCUGACUGCUACUUCUCAUGAGAAUAUGGAACAGCUUGUUUCGAUUCAAAGCAGGGAGUUACCAGAUCAUCUGGAUAGCCUUUCUCCAGAAAAACCAGAACUGCCAAGUACUGAUUCUGGUCACAUGGAGCCAGGGGUGCCUAAACCAGUUUUGAAUGGUGAUAAGGCAGAAGAGACCGACACCGAGACUGAUCAGAUAAAUCCAAUGGAUGUAGUUGAAGAUUCAUUGCGGUCUCUUGAUGAUGCAGCAGAGGCAGUUGGUUUGCCUGCUGACGAGGAAAACUCAAAUGAUAUAAACAAAACCGAAGGUAAUAGUACUGUGUACUGUGCCAAGGAAAUACAUGCUUUUGAUGAUGCAAUUAGUGGUUCUUUAAAUGAUUCUCCUAAGGUAUCAGGGGCUUUGAUUCCCGGGUCAAAUGAGUCUGGGUCGGAGUUGGUAAUUUUAACUGGGAUACAUCAUUCUCCUGAAAAUACACAUUGAGACAAUUUCUAUAUCCAUGUUCUUUUUAUAAUGCGCAUUUUUAUUUUUUACUUUUGCUGUUUUUUGUUGCGUAUGGUUAUGAAGCAAAUAAAAUGAGGUACAUGCCAUCUGGUUUCCUGGAUUAGGCAUAUCCUUGCAUCUUCUUCAUUCUUGAUCUGCUACAUUCUACUUUGAUGCAUUUAACAUUUCUGGUAAAACUGCUUUUUAUAAAUUGCCAUGAUUUUGUUUUUAUGUUUUCCUAUUGAUUCUCUGCAUUUAGCUGGACGUAUAAUUGUAUACAUAUUUCAUGUCGGAUCGAGUUUGAAUUGUCAUGAAAUGGGUUAAUUAUGAAUUAUGAUACUUGUAUAUGGAUCAGUGUUUAUAAAUUACCCCAAAUUUCACCCCAAAUUUCUAAACUUCUUUACUUUCUCUCAAAACUUUUACUCCCCUCCCAUUUCAUCCUUUUCUACCCCAAACCCACCUCCCCACACAAUUUUUUUUUAAUACUUUCCCUAAAAUUUUACUUUCCCAUUUGCUUUCUAACAAAAUUUUACUACCUCCACCCCUAAAAUUUUUUAUUUUCCUCCAAUACUUUUACUUCCAUCCCACCCCUUUCUACCCCAAACCUAUCCCCCGAUUUUUUUUAAAAAUAAUAUUAUUUAUAUUAUUAAAUUAAAUUCUACAAUUAGUAUUAUUUUUAUUAUUGAAUUGUUUAAUCAUAUUGAACAUUUAUAAUAUUUUGUUAAAAUUGAAUUAUUGUUGAUGUUAUAAAAUAUUCGUGUUAAAAUUUUACAUUGGUAUCAAUUUUACAUUUUAUCUUUAAGAUAACUUUUAUUAAAAAAAUCACAUUUUUUACAUUUAGUAUAUAUUUUAAUUUCAAAAUACAUAGUGACAAGAAUUAGAAAAUAAUUGAAGCAAUUAAGCAAAUUACAUAAAAAAUUAAUAAAUAAAUUAUGAGGGGAUGAAAGUUAAUAAUAAAUUUGAUUAGGUUAGGUGAUAGUGACUACAAGGAUCCGAAAUCAUUUUUUUAAUUUAACUCGAACAAAUAUAUUCGAUUCGAAUUUCAUCUCACUCGUCUCAAUUUGAGAAAAUUUAAAAUUGAGUUAGGAUGAAAAAAUAAGAUUCAUAAACUCAAUUAACUUGAAAUUUUUUCAUUCGAUUCAAUUGAAUGUUUAUUUUUGUUUUUUUAAUUUUAAAAUACAGUUUCAAGUGUUAAUGUUGUUAAACUCUUUUGUUAAAUUCAAGUUAAUUUUGUUAUUAUUUUAUUUAUAUGACUAUUAUUUUUAAUAAUCUCUUUUAUGCUUGUUUCUUCCACAAACAAAAAAAAUAAUAUAAAAGCUAUAGUUACAUAAAAAUUGAAAGCAUAUUAUAUAAUAAAAGAAGAGUGAAAAUGAAACAUUUAAUAAUAGCUGAAAAGCUCAUUUGUACGUGGAUUUAUUUUUCAUACCGAGAUAUGGUUCUUUUAUUUCAUGCGAGAAAAAGCAGAGCAGUCAUCUUAUCCUACAACUCUCGGGUCUUCUUAUUAUAUGAGAAAACAAGCAUUUUAAACAACUUUUUAUCUACAUCAUGAGAAAAUCUAUUUAUUAACAUUAAAUGAGGUUUUAGUGUAACCAUUGGAGAAAAUAAAAUUCUGGGUGAAUUAGAGUCGAAUUUCUGGAUUAAAAUUUAAAAUAUAUUUUAAAAAUAGAAAGUAAUGUGAGUUUUUUUUUCUCAAACCAAAUUAUAUAACAAAAAAUAUACUCAAAUUAGUAUAAAAAAGUUCAGAAUUUCCUUUUACUUGAUACCCACGAAAUAAAAUUUUAAACUCAAAAAAGUUGAGGGACCAAACUAAUAUAAAAAAAAUCAAAAUUUGGAUGAGUCAGACAAGACGGUAAUAGGAGGGUUAAUCGUGUGAGAUGGGCAAAGUUAUCCCCAAGUCUACUUCAAGUCCUACUGUUAACUCCGAUUCCUAAUAAAUAAAUAAAUAAAUAAAUAAAUAAAGCUCAUUAUUGAAAACUAAAGGCAUAUACCCUCUUUUCUUCACUUCUUCAACAUCACAUGCUCUUUUUAGCAGCUAUCCCCAAAACACCCCCAUCUUCCUUCGUCAAACUCAAACCCCCAAAUUUCUUCCACCCUACCCUCCCUCGUAAUUUCCCUCUCAUUUUUUCGAUCCCAUCCCUUAAACCGCCCCCACUCUCCUCUAAAAAUCUUUUCUUUCCGUCCGCCGUAAACCUUCCCACCGCCUCCACUCCUAUUCCUUCCAGUUAGGGUUUCCACAUUCAUUUCUUCCUGCUUUUCGUUAAUCGACGUUAUUGGAAGAUUCGAUGUUAGGGUUUUUGUAUUCAAUGUUGAUUUGAGAGAUUGGUGUUUCAUUUUUGUUUUCAUUUUCUGGUUAGGGUUUUUUUGAGGUGUUGUAAUUUGGGUGCCGGUGAUGCCGCGAAGUUCAAGGCAUAAAUCCAGUAAGCACAGUUCUAGGGAUUACUCGGAUUCGGAGAAAGAUUCGGGCUUAAAGGAGAAGGAAAAGAAGAGUAAGGAGGAGAGUAGUGUUAGGUCUUCAAAGGAGCUUGGAUCCGGUGACAAGAGAAAGCUUGACGCUAAGGAUACCAGCAAGGAAAUAUGGAUUUCGGGGAAUGGAGAUUAUAUUGAGGAGUACAGUUCCUCGAAGCGGCGCAAAGAAAAGGCAGAUGAUGGAGUAAACGAUAGGUGGAAUGGUGGUGAAGAUGAUGAUGGUAAAGGAGAGAAGAAGUCUAAGGCUUCAAGUGAAUCGAAGAGUAAGAGACGAGAGGAUAUUGAAGGGGAUGAUACAAAGAGGAGUAAGAGUGAAGGGAAGCAUCGAGAAUCAAGUAGAAAAGAGGAAAGGGAGAGAGAAAGGAAAGGUAAAGAAGGCAAGAGUGAUAGGUUCAUUGAGAAUGAAGAACACCGCUCUGUGAAACAAUCCACCGAAAGAACUGGUAAGAUAACUUACUGUUUGUUGGUUGUUUAGUGACAAUUUAGCAUGUACAUUUCUAAUUAUUUUGGUGCCCUUUUUUGUUGUUAGGUAUGGUAUAUUAAGAUUGAUUGUCAUUUUAUUUUCCCAUUUUUGUUUUUUAGGAGUUAAUACAUACUGCAUUGAAUAGGGACUCUAUCUAUUGAUAUAUAACUUCGAGUUGCCCUUUUUGUUGGACUGUGCUAGAUUUCUAAUUUCCUCUUUUGCAAACUUUUAAACUAUAGAUUUCAGAGGAAAGCUAUUCUUUCGAAUGCAUCCAUGGUUAAGUCUAUAUAUAAUAUAUAUCUACAAACUCUCAGAACCAUGUUAAGUUGAUUGGGGAAGUUUAACUUCAAGCCAAAUAAUUUUAAGUGUUAAGAGUUAUCUAAUUUUGCAACUUUUAUUUGCUCCAUGAGCCAAAGAAGAAAAGUAGAUGUCUGUUUUCAGGAUGAGAGGCUGGGUUGAGGAAUUUAAAGAUUAGGUGACAUAGUUGAGAAGAUAGUUUCUACUGAUCAGGUCUUAUGGUGUUGGGAAGGUGUGACUUUUUCAUUGUUUUAUAGCCUUCUUAACUACUGUUAUGAAGAAACUAAUGUCUGACCUUAAACCUGGUGUAUUACACUUUUUCUGCAUAGACAUGCACCUUGUGUCUGAGUUCCUAGAACAGUGGUGUAUGGACCAGGAUAAGAUUGCUUAUCUUUUCCAUUUCCUUUAUCUUCAAUAUCAAAUUGAAAUUGUCGGUUAGCCUUCUGCAGUGAAUAUUUCUUUUGGCUGGUUUCCUGUUUCUGGGUAUCGGUUUGAAAGGAAUCGAAUUUUGAAAAUUUCUGUGGAGUCUCCAAUAUUUAAUUUUAUAUUAGCUUCAAAGUGUUAUUAUAGAAGUACUUUCCCAUACAUGGUUCCCUUUUUUGUAUAAGAGAACAAUUUAUAUGUAUAUUGAGUGGAGAAUUUACUUGGUUGAGCUUGAAGCUGCCACACUUCUUGUACACUUAGAAGUGCAUUUACAUGUGUUUUUCUAAGUAUAUGAAGUCAAUUUCCCAACUUAGGUAAUCUUGUUUAGCCAAGGUUGGUCAGAGCCCGCAAGGAUCCCUUGUACUUAUAAGUUCCAUGGUCCUGAUUAUAUUUUCCAGUGGAGCCUUGAAUAACUUGAAGGUAAUGAAUGUAUUGCCUUGAUCGUGGUAUUUCAAAUUUCAAUAAAUGGCAUGUUUGGACUUUGAAGGGAGUUUUGGAAGUUGAUAAAAUAUGAUGAGAAGUGCUGACCGUUUUAUAAAUAGUUCUGUAUUUAAAAAUAUUUCUAAUAAAUACUCCAUCUAAAUCCUCAACUGGUAAUGGAAGAAUUCCUUCUUUCAUAAGCUGUCAUGGUUGUGGAUAGUUAUCUGGCUACUGUCAUCUAUCCACUUCUGUUUUGGCUUGGGGAUGAUGUUUCAGUGCGGUGAGUUUACCUUCGUUUGAGGCCUAAUAUAAAAUUUUCAUGCUGCUUUGGCUCAAAUAUAUCAGUGCUAUGUCUAGAUGCGUCAGUCUUUCGGCACUUUCUCUUUGUAUCUGCUUUUCACAGAUUUAAAGUUAUUAUUAGCUUAUAGUAGACUAGAUAAGUUUACUUGUUUGCUUUAUGAAUUCAAAUAUUAAGUUUGUGAUCUUUCAGUUUUCUGUUUUGGAUUGCUUUACAUUUUCAGUGUUAUAUGUCAUUGCUCUGCUUGGUAUAUUAUUACAUGCACUUUCCAGAGGAUCUUGUCUUCUGUUUGCGGAAAAUGAUAAACUGUAUGGUCAUUAUCGAGUCCAGAUUUCCGGAUUUUCAGAGGAGUUUUAGUAAUAUUUGCUGAAAUCAAAUUAUAGCUUUCGAGGUGUUUUCUGUAAGUAGACUGUCAGAUAUUCUUGGUAACAUUUUUUUUCCUUUUCCUUUUUCUGUAUUUCAGAUUUUGAUGUACCAGAUCGGUUGCAAAGUCCUGAAUCAGAGAGCCAGCUUGAGAGACGACUUAGGAAAAAGAGAGAUGCUUCUGGUGAUGUGGAUAAGCAUCUGGAAGAUAAUGGAGACAUUUUGGACAGGCGGUUGUCUGCAAGCAAUGAUACUAGCAAAGAUGUAAGAGCAAGAGAUGAGAAGCAUAAGGAUGAAAGAUACAAAGACAAGUAUCGGGAAGACAUUAACUGUGAAGAUAAGUGCCAAGAUGACCAAGUGGCAAGCGAUCAUGCUAAUAGUAAGUCUAGUGAGAAGCAUUUAAGGGAUGGAAAAGAUGACGGUAAAAUUCGGCAGAAGAAGUCCAAGGUUCAAGAUAGUGACUUUGAGCGUGAUCGUGACCAUGAUAGAGAGCGUGAUCGUGAUAGAGACCGUGAGCGCUAUAGGGAGCGGGAGCGUGAUCGAGAGCGGGAUAUUGGACGCGACCGAGAGCGAGAACGUUAUCGUGAUCUUGAUCGUGACCAUUAUCGGGAACGUGACCGCAAUCGUGAUCAUGACAAUGAUCGUGAUUAUGAUUCUCAAUGGGAUCGAGAUCGAGAACGUGAUCUCCGUUACAGUUAUCGGGACAAGGAUAGAGAUCGUGAGCGUGAUGAGUUACAUGAUGAGCGGAGGAGUGCUAGAAACAAAGAUAGUAAGGGAAGGAAGCGAUCUCCUGAUGAUCGGGAUGACGGUAAUGAUACUAAAUCUAGAGGUGCCAAACUACAGUAUUCUGACAUGGAAAAUAAAUCAGCUUCUGGUAGACUCGAGGUAGAUGCUGAUAGGGGAAGGUGUCAGUCACGCCCAACCAAUUUAGAUGCUGCUAUGGGCAGCAACAGGAGGAGGGCUUCUCCCAGCUCAAGUUCUCAUGGUGGGACUGAUGAGUAUAGGUACUCUUUUGCUUUUAUCACACCCUCUUCAAUAUUUUUUAUUCCAUAUUCUAUGGUUUAAAUGGUAAACUGAGCAGCAAACAAUGUACGGUAUUAAGUCAGUAAUUUCUGUCAGAUAUUCAGAUUAUUGUUUGACAAUUUAUACUGAUUUUAUUUUCUCAUUCUCUGUGGCAUUCUACUAAUUUCUGGUGCUUGGGGGUAUGGCCCCACCACUAUCCCUAGUGCUUUCUUGAGUGUAAUAGACUUAUUUUCUCUUACAGACAUUUGAAGCAAGAAGAUUCGAAUUAUAGAGAUCCAAUGACAGAGCAGCGGUCCAAAGCAGCUUUGUCAAGAGAGGUGACUAGUUUUUCUGAAACCUCUGAGAGGGGUGCUAAGUACAGAUCCAUGGAGAAAUCAAGUAGGGCGGAUGAGGACCAUUCUGGGGAGUUACCAAUUGAGAGGUCCUCAAGUUUAAAAGCUUCCCCAAUGAGUAUGAUGGAAAAAUCUCCUUCAACAAGUCUUGAGCGUAGAUAUACGGGUAGAAGUGUUAGGCGGGGUCUUGACACAGAGGAGACGGGGUGGAGCAGUGCCUCUGCUGGUGGCAGAGAAGAGGAUAAUAGACUUAGUCGAGACUUGCCUCCUGAGAAGCCUCUUUUGGAUGGAUCCUCUCAAGCAGAUUCUGUGUUUUAUAAUAGAGCUGGUCAGGGCAACUCAUCUUUGAUUUCACAACCUCCUGGUUUAAGGGCUGGAAUUGGCAGCCCUUCUUUCAUGGGUUCUCUAGAAGAAGAUAAUAGAUUCAAUAACAGUGGUCGCUACAAGAGGAGUGGUGAUCUGAAUGUUAGAAGAGGGCACGCAAAUGCUUGGAGGGUCGCCCCAAACUGGCCAGCACCUGUUCCAAAUAGUUUCAUCCCUUUCCAACCUGGGCCACCCCAUGGUGCUUUUCAAGCUAUGAUGCCACAGUUUCCUUCUCCAUCUCUGUUUGGUGGUAGACCCUCAAUGGAAAUUAAUCACUCUGGGAUUCCAUAUCAUAUACCUG